rnacentral:rRNA from 1 species
UACGUAGGGUGCAAGCGUUGUCCGGAAUUAUUGGGCGUAAAGAGCUCGUAGGCGGUUUGUCGAGUCUGCUGUGAAAACUCGGGGCUUAACCCCGGGCCUGCAGUGGGUACGGGCAGACUAGAGUGCGGUAGGGGAGACUGGAAUUCCUGGUGUAGCGGUGAAAUGCGCAGAUAUCAGGAGGAACACCGGUGGCGAAGGCGGGUCUCUGGGCCGUAACUGACGCUGAGGAGCGAAAGCAUGGGGAGCGAACAGG